AUUGCUUCUCAGCCAUUUGGCUAAGACCAAGUGUAGUAUCUGUUCUUAUCAGUUUAAUAUCUGAUACGUCCUCUAUCCAAGGACAUUAAUAUCAAAUUGGAUUUUUGGAGCUGGGAGGUAGAAUAAUAUCUUGCUCCAUCUACUCUGCGCAUCGACUUUGUAUUGCAGUACUUCCAGGAACAGGGCACAAGAA